rnacentral:rRNA from 1 species
GAUGAACGCUGGCGGCGUGCCUAAUACAUGCAAGUCGAGCGAACAGAUAAGGAGCUUGCUCCUUUGACGUUAGCGGCGGACGGGUGAGUAACACGUGGGUAACCUACCUAUAAGACUGGAAUAACUCCGGGAAACCGGGGCUAAUGCCGGAUAAUAUUUAGAACCGCAUGGUUCUAAAGUGAAAGAUGGUUUUGCUAUCACUUAUAGAUGGACCCGCGCCGUAUUAGCUAGUUGGUGGGGUAAUGGCUUACCAAGGCAACGAUACGUAGCCGAACGUAGAGGGAGCUCGGCCACACUGGAACUGAGAAACGGUCCAGACUCCUACGGGAGGCAGCAGUAGGGAAUCUUCCGCAAUGGGCGAAAGCCUGACGGAGCAACGCCGCGUGAGUGAUGAAGGUCUUCGGAUCGUAAAACUCUGUUAUUAGGGAAGAACAAAUGUGUAAGUAACUGUGCACGUCUUGACGGUACCUAAUCAGAAAGCCACGGCUAACUACGUGCCAGCCGCCGCAGUAA